rnacentral:rRNA from 1 species
GACGAACGCUGGCGGCGUGCUUAACACAUGCAAGUCGAACGAUGAAGCCGGAGCUUGCUCUGGUGAAUUAGUGGCGAACGGGUGAGUAACACGUGAGUAACCUGCCCUUGACUCUGGGAUAACUGCUAGAAAUGGUAGCUAAUACCGGAUACGACCCUCGGAGGCAUCUUCAGGGGGUGGAAAGAAUUUCGGUCAAGGAUGGACUCGCGGCCUAUCAGCUAGUUGGUGAGGUAAUGGCUCACCAAGGCGACGACGGGUAGCCGGCCUGAGAGGGUGACCGGCCACACUGGGACUGGGACACGGCCCAGACUACUACGGGAGGCAGCAGUGGGGAAUAUUGCACAAUGGGCGCAAGCCUGAUGCAGCAACGCCGCGUGAGGGAUGACGGCCUUCGGGUUGUAAACCUCUUUUGGGAGGGAAGAAGCGAAAGUGACGGUACCUGCAGAAAAAGGACCGGCCAACCACGUGCCAGCAGCCGCGGUAA